UUUGGUGUGAAUUGUUAUGAGCAGCUGAAACGGUUAUAUAAAGAAUUUUCUACUACAUGAAUAGAGCUGGGUGAUUCUCGUCUUACCCUCAGAGAGCUCACAUACAAAAUUGUUGACAAAAUAUUUUCACAGGUUUGUGUUUCUUAAUCUUUUUUCUGUUUGUUUUGUUUCUGCUGCUUUUCUUUUUAAUUCUCCAUGAAUGUCUCGUUCUCUCAGGUACCCAGAAAGUUUACCAGUAAUGUUGAAGGAAAAAUGGGAUAUGAAGAUUUUGUAUAUUUCAUUUUAUCUGAAGAAGAUAAAUCAUCAGAGCCGAGUCUGGAAACAGUGUGAUUACAGGUUCAAGUGUGUAGAUUUAGAUUUAGUCAUUUAGUCAUUUAGGCCUUGUUUGAUAAGCCUCUUACCGAGUCCGGUAAGAAGCCACAUCUGAUUCAGUCCAAAACAGAAUGUUUGAUUACACCAUUUUAAGCUCUUACUCGGUCCAUAGGCUUCUUACCGAGUCAUUCUAAAAAUGACGCUGACUGAGAAUAUAGGCUCAUUUUCCCUUCUCCUUUUUUAUCCUCUGAACGUGACCUCACUCCUUCGUCCUUCCUCUUCAUCCCAUCUCUCGUCUGUUUCAUCCUCGGUGCCCACCUAUUCUAGCGCCGGCCACCUCCUCCAACAUCGUCCUUUUCAACGUUGUCCUCUCUAGCGCCGAACUUCUAACCCCUUCUCUCAUGAUCGAUUGCAAUUGUCGUCUUACUUGGAAUAACACCGCCAAAAAAAUCGUUCACCACCAGAAGGGUAAGAUGGUCAUUUUUAGCAUUCAACACAUCCAGUCAGAUACCUUAUCAAACAACAUGGUCGCAGUCAGAACAAGAUCCAGUCAGAGCUUCAACCCAGGCAUGCCUCAGUCAGGUUCAAGUGUGUAGAUUUAGAUGCAAACAGUGUGAUUACAAGGAAUAAAAUGCAAUUCUUCUAUGAAGAACACUUGCAUUGAAUGGAAUGCAUGGCCCAAGAGCCUGUUCUUUUUGAAGAUAUUUUGUGUCAAAUAGUCGACAUGAUUGGACCAAA